ensembl:snoRNA
CUCCUUUUUAUGUAUGUAAGUGUGAUGAUUGGCUUUGCACCCCACUGUGUGAGAUGUGCCCCCUCCAAUCCUGGUAGACGUUGGCAUGUCACCUGUCUGAUG